rnacentral:rRNA from 1 species
UACGAAGGGGGCUAGCGUUGCUCGGAAUCACUGGGCGUAAAGCGCACGUAGGCGGAUUGUUAAGUCAGGGGUGAAAUCCUGGAGCUCAACUCCAGAACUGCCUUUGAUACUGGCGAUCUCGAGUCCGGGAGAGGUGAGUGGAACUGCGAGUGUAGAGGUGAAAUUCGUAGAUAUUGGGAAGAACACCAGUGGCGAAGGCGGCUCACUGGCCGUAACUGACGCUGAGGUGCGAAAGCG